rnacentral:rRNA from 1 species
GACAGAGGGGGCAAGCGUUGCUCGGAAUUACUGGGCGUAAAGGGCGCGUAGGCGGGAUGGCAAGUCGGUCGUGAAAUCCCUCGGCUCAACUGAGGAUUGUCGAUCGAUACUGCCGUUCUUGAGGAUUGCAGAGGAGACUGGAAUUCCCGGUGUAGCGGUGAAAUGUGUAGAGAUCGGGAGGAACACCGGUGGCGAAGGCGGGUCUCUGGGCAAUUCCUGACGCUGAGGCGCGAAAGCGUGGGGAGCAAACGGG